rnacentral:tRNA from 13 species
AGCCACCAAUGAGGAUUGAAUCGCGACCCCUGGUUUACAAGAUCAGUGCUCUAGCCACUGAGCUAUGGUGGC